UGGGGAAUCUUGGACAAUGGGGGAAACCCUGAUCCAGCAAUGCCGCGUGCGUGAAGAAGGCCUGCGGGUUGUAAAGCACUUUUAGUAACGAAGAGGACUAUCUUCGGAUAGUCGGACGUUAGUUACAGAAACAGCACCGGCUAACUCCGUGCCAGCAGCCGCGGUAAUACGGAGGGUGCGAGCGUUGUUCGGAAUUAUUGGGCGUAAAGCGCGUGUAGGCGGCUCCUUAAGUCUGAUGUGAAAGCCCCGGGCUCAACCUGGGAAGUGCAUUGGAAACUGGGGAACUCGAAUACGGGAGAGGGUAGUGGAAUUCCUGGUGUAGGAGUGAAAUCCGUAGAUAUCAGGAGGAACACCGGUGGCGAAGGCGGCUACCUGGACCGAUAUUGACGCUGAGACGCGAAAGCGUGGGGAGCAAACAGGAUUAGAUACCCUGGUAGUCCACGCCGUAAACGAUGAGAACUAGGUGUUGCGGGUAUUGACCCCUGCAGUGCCGCAGCUAACGCAUUAAGUUCUCCGCCUGGGAAGUACGGUCGCAAGACUA
rnacentral:rRNA from 1 species